CGGAGGGUGCAAGCGUUGUCCGGUAUUUAUUGGGGUUUAAAGGGUGCGUAGGUGGCUCUAUAAGUCAGUGGUGAAAGUCUGCAGCUUAACUGUAGAACUGCCAUUGAUACUGUGGAGCUUGAGUACUGAUGAGGUAGGCGGAAUUGAUAGUGUAGCGGUGAAAUGCAUAGAUAUUAUCAAGAACACCGAUUGCGAAGGCAGCUUACUAAGGAGUUACUGACACUGAGGCACGAAAGCGUGGGGAUCAAACAGGAUUAGAUACCCUGGUAGUCCACGCCAUAAACGAUGAUUACUCGAUGUAUGCGAUAGACAGUAUGCGUCCAAGCGAAAGCGUUAAGUAAUCCACCUGGGGAAUACGACCGCAAGGUUG
rnacentral:rRNA from 1 species